AAAAUAGAACAAAACAACACUCAAGCGAAAUAAAACUGAAAGCCAUAAAAUCUGAAAAUUUAAAUGCAGCGCAUUAUCAUGAUGAUGAGUUGUGCUAACAAAUAACAUGCUUCAUCAACCACACAACAUAUUGCAGAUGGAUUUUUAGAUUUACACAAAAUGAAUUUUUAUUGCCCCAAUCGAAGUUGAAGAUUUUCAAAUGACACCUCACAAAAAUGUGUACGCCAAAGAUUUUAGGAGAUGGUAACAACAAAAAUCCAGAAAAAAGUCCAUCUCUAUAAAAAUCGAAGGUUAAAAAAGGCAAUCAGCUCUUAAAAUUGCUCAGAAGGUCCGUUCUCAGAUUUAUCCAAAGAGGGGUAAUGGAGACACUCGGAAGCUGGAAUUUAUGAAGCUGAUCCCUACACAUUCUCCCAUCCUCUCGGGUUUAAAUUACCGCAAAACUAGCACCCCUAUUGACGUCAAAAAGUUUAUAUUCUAUAAAAAUGAAAUUCCGUUGCAGUUUUUUAUGCAUACCCAAUUUGCUGGUUAUAUUCUUGUCUUCAUUGAAACCGAAUAACAAUCAACAACCAUCCCAAUGUAGUAUUACAGUUGAAUGCAUUUAUGCAAGAUGCUGCGUGUGUGUGGUGUGGAAACCAAAAUAUAAAACCAAAUGGCAUGAUGAACAUAAAAUAAUAAAUGCGACGAUUUACCUCUCCAUACUGAAUACAAUGAAUAUGCAACUACAUAACAUGUGUGUGUGUGAGGUGUGUGAAGUUUUUUCCUCGACAUUCGAAUAUUUAAAUGGGACCUUCACAUAAAAAUCGUUCGUAAAUAGUUCAUUGCGUUCCUUUAAGGAAAAAAAUAGUUCGUUUUUGGGGGCCGAGAUAAUUUUUGUACUAAAAACCAUUUUUGUAAAAUUUCCGCAAAUAAUAAAAUUUUCAAAAAAUUCUUUCACCAAAAAAUCGUUC